rnacentral:rRNA from 1 species
AACGAACGCUGGCGGUAGGCUUAACACAUGCAAGUCGAACGGAUCCUUCGGGAUCAGUGGCGGACGGGUGAGUAACGCGUGGGAACCUACCCUGGGGUGGGGAAUAACCUUGGGAAACCGAGGCUAAUACCGCAUACGCCCUAUUGGGGAAAGACUAUGUUGCCCUGGGAUGGGCCCGCGUCCGAUUAGCUAGUUGGUGGGGUAAUGGCCUACCAAGGCUGCGAUCGGUAGCUGGUCUGAGAGGAUGAUCAGCCACACUGGGACUGAGACACGGCCCAGACUCCUACGGGAGGCAGCAGUGGGGAAUAUUGGACAAUGGGGGCAACCCUGAUCCAGCCAUGCCGCGUGAGUGAAGAAGGCCUUAGGGUUGUAAAGCUCUUUCACCCGUGACGAUGAUGACGGUAGCGGGAGAAGAAGCCCCGGCUAAUUCCGUGCCAGCAGCCGCGGUAAU